ensembl:lncRNA
CAAACUCCUACUAAUUCAUCUCUCCCUGUUUCCUCUUUGGCAACCGUAAGUUUGUUUUUUAUGUCUGAGUCUCUGUUUUGUUUUGUAAAUCAGCUCAUUUGUAUCAUCUAGAUUCUACAUAUUGCUGAUAUCAUAUGAUGUUUGUCUUUCUCUGACCGACUUAGUAUGAUUCUCUCUAGGUCCAGCCAUGUUGCUGCAAACGGCGUUAUCCAUUCUUUUUUUAUGGCUGAGUGAUGUUACAUUGUGUAUAUAUACCACAUCUUUUUUACCCAUUCAUCUGUCAGUGGACAUUUAGAUUGCUUCCGUGUCUUGGCCAUUGUAAAUAACACUGCUAUGAACAGGGUGUGUGUUUCUUUUCUAAUUAUGAUUUGGUUCAGACCAUAAAGAAUCUGCCUGUAAUGCAGGAGACUGAGUUUGAUCCCUGGGUGGGGAAGUUCCCCUGGAGGAAAAAAUGGCCCACUCCAGUAUUCUUGCCUGGAGAAUUUCAUGGACAGAGGAACCUGGUGGGCAACAGUCCACUGGGUCACAAAGAGUCAGACUGAGCGACUAACACUUUCACUUUUCCAUAUAUAUGCCUGGGGAUAUAUAUAUGGGGUAUAUGUAUAGGAUUGCAGGAUCAUGUGGUAGCCCUAUUGGUAGUCCUAUUUCGAGUUUUUUAAGGAACCUUCAUACUGUUUUCCGUGGUGGCUGUAUCAAUUUACAUUCCCAGCAAGAGUAUAGGAGGGUUCUAUCCCACACCCUCUCCAGCAUUUAUUAUUUGUAGGUGUUUUUUUAAAGGUUUAAAUUUUUUAAAAAGAUUUUAUUGAAGUAUAGUUGAUUUACAGUGUUGUGUUCAUUUUUUCUGUGCAGGAAAGUGACUCAGUUAUACAUAUACAUACAUAUAUACAUGCUCACACGCAUACACACAUUCUUUCUCACAUUCUUCUCCAUUAUGGUUUGUCACAGGAUAUUGAAUAUAGUUCUUUGUGCUAUACAAUAGGACCUUAUUGUUUAUCCAUCGUAUAUAUAAUAGUUUUCAUCUGCUUAUCCCAAACUCUCAGUCAUCCUCCACUCCCUGUCCUCUAUGAGUCUGUUUUUGUUUCGUUGAUUUGUGUCAUAUUUUAGAUUCCACAUGUAAAUGAUACGUGGGAUUAGUCUUUCUCUUAUUUACUUCCCUUAAGUAGGAUAAUCUUUUGGUCCAUCCUUGUUGCUGCAAAUGGCAUUAUUUGAUUCUUUCUGAUGGCUGAGUAAUACUCAGUUGUAUAAAUGCGCCACACCUUCUUUAUCCAUUCAUCUGUGUCAGUGGACAUUCAGGUGGUUUCUGUGUCUUAGCUGUUGUAAACAGUGCUGCAGUGAACGUAGCGGGUACAGGUAUCUUUCCUGAAUUACAGUUUUAUCUAGGUAUAUGCCCAGGAGUGGAAUUGCUGGAUCAUAUGGCAACUCUAGUUUUCUGAGGAACAUCCAUAGUGGCUGCAUCAAUUUACAUUUCCAUCAGCAGUGUAAGAAGGUUCCCUUUUCUCCACAUCCUCUCCAGCAUUUGUUAUUUGUAAAUUUUUAAAUGAUGGUCAUUCUGACUAAUGUGAGGUGGUACCUUGUAGUUUUGAUUUGCGUUUCUUUAAUAAUUAGUGAUGUUGAGCAUCUUGUCAUGUGCUGAUUGGUCAUCUUUGUGUGCUCUUUGAAGAAAUGUCUAUUUAGGUCUUCUAUUUUUUCAUUGGGCUGUUUGUCGUUGAGUUGUUUGUAUAUUUUAGAAGUUAAGCCCUUGUUGGUUGCAUCAUUUGCAAAUAUUUUCUCCCAGUCUGUAGAUUGUGUUUUUGUUUUGUGUAUGAUUUUCUUUGCUGUACAGAAGCAUUUAAGUUUGAUUAGAUCCCACUUGAUUUUUGCUUUAUUUUUGUGUAAAUGGUGAGGGUGUGUUCUAACUAUUGAUUUACAUGUGGCUGUCCAGCUUUCACAACACCACUUGCUGAAGAGACUGUCUUUACUCUGCUGUGUAUUAUCAUCUCCUUUGUUGAAGAUUGUAGAUAUGUGGGUUUAUUUCUAGGCUCUCUGUUCUGUUCUGUUCAUCCAUGUCUGUUUUUAUGCCAGUACCAGGCAGUUUUAAUUACUAUAGCUUUGUAGUAUUAUAAGUCUGGGAGGGUUAUACCUCUG